UUAGAUUUAGUUAAUUUUAUAACAUUAAUUUGUCAAAUUAAAAUAAUUUUUUUUAAAUAUUCUCAU
rnacentral:tRNA from 1 species